UACGUAGGGUGCAAGCGUUAAUCGGAAUUACUGGGCGUAAAGCGUGCGCAGGCGGUUUUGUAAGUCUGUCGUGAAAUCCCCGGGCUUAACCUGGGAAUUGCGAUGGAGACUGCAAGGCUAGAAUCUGGCAGAGGGGGGUAGAAUUCCACGUGUAGCAGUGAAAUGCGUAGAGAUGUGGAGGAACACCGAUGGCGAAGGCAGCCCCCUGGGUCAAGACUGACGCUCAUGCACGAAAGCGUGGGGAGCAAACAGG
rnacentral:rRNA from 1 species